ACUGCUAAUUUGACUUUCCGGUCGGCGGCUGAUCCCGGAGCAGGACUUCUUAAGGUCCGGGGGCAAAAAUCAUUCUCAGUUGCCAUAUGGCAAAGACACAGGAAGCUGCCCUGUGUAGAGACCCACAUGGCAAGGAACUGAGACAUCCUGCCAACAACCACCAGAGUCUGAGGCCUGCUGCCAUCACCACAUUAUGGCUUGCUAUGGCAGUCAGCCCCCAAGAUGGACCCCAUUGAUUCUGGACUCCUGGUGCCAAAACCAUUGUACCCAGAUCAACUGCAAACAAGAACAGAGUUUUAAUGGAAAUUUUAAACAAGUAAGAUGAAAAUCCUGAAGCAUUUCUUUCAAGAAUUGUAACAGGAGAUGAAACAUGGCUUUACCAGUAUAAUCCCGAAGACAAAGUACAAUCAGAGCAAUGGCUACCAAGAGGUGGAAGUGGUCCAGUCAAAGCAAAAGCAGACCUGCCAAGAGCAAAGGUCGUGGGAAUAGUUUUUUGGGAUACUUAUUUUGCUUGUUGACUUUCUGAAGAGCCAAAGAACAAUAAUAUCUGCUUGUUUCAAGAGUGUUUUGAGAAAGUUUGCUAAAGCUUUAGCAGAAAAAUUCCUGGAAAAGCUUCACCAGUCUUUUUCUACCGCAACAAUGCUCCCACUCAUUCUUCUCAUCAAACAAGGGCAAUUUUACAAGACUUUCAAUGAGAAAUCAUUAGGCAUCGACCUUACAGUCCUAAUUUGGCUCUUUCUAACUUCUUUUUGUUUCCUAAUCUUAAAAAAUCUGCAAAGGGCUCCCAUUUUUCGUCAUUUAAUCAUGUAAAAAAGACAUGGUUAAAUUUCCAUGAAUCUCAAUUUUUUUAGGGAUGGAUUAAAUGACUGGUGUCAUCACUUACAACCAUGGUUGACCUCGAUGGAGCUUAUGUUGAGAAAUAAAGUUUAUAUUCUUUAUCUUUUAAUUCAAUUUUUCCAUGAACAUUUUGAAGUGCCUCAUAUUAUAAAUGAUAUUUCAUUGUUAGUGGUUCAUUAAUAGGGUAUUUAAAUACAAUUCUUUUUUAAUAUUAGUCCUGUACACUGAGAUCAUGUUUAAAAACCUAUUAGUUCUAGUAGUAUUUUAUAGAUUUCUUUUGAUUUUCUAUGUAUACAAUCA
rnacentral:lncRNA from 1 species